rnacentral:rRNA from 1 species
UACGUAGGGUGCAAGCGUUAAUCGGAAUUACUGGGCGUAAAGCGUGCGCAGGCGGUUUUGUAAGUCUGUCGUGAAAUCCCCGGGCUCAACCUGGGAACUGCGUUUCUAACUGGCAGGCUUGAGUGUGGCAGAGGGGGGUGGAAUUCCACGUGUAGCAGUGAAAUGCGUAGAUAUGUGGAGGAACACCGAUGGCGAAGGCAGCCCCCUGGGCUAACACUGACGCCUCAUGCACGAAAGCGUGGGGAGCAAACAGG